AAUAAAAUUGAGAAUGGAAAUAGGGAAUGUGUCAAAGAGGCAAAAACCCGACCAUAGAACAGACAACAACAGAAGGUCACCAAUAGGUCUUCAAUGCAGCGAGAAACUCCCGUACCCGAUGGCAUCCUUCAGCUUGCCGCUAAACAAAUAUAUAUACUUGUUCAGUGAUAUUGGACUUCAUACAAACUCCAAAUUAUACACAAGAAACUAAAAUUAAAAAUCUUACAAGACUAACAAAGACCAGAGGCUCCUGACUUGGGACAGGCGCAAAAAUGUGGCGGGAUUAAACAUGUUCUUUGAGAUCUCAACCGCAUAUAUAGCUACGAUCUUUUGUUUAUGUAUCUGAUUAUGAAAAUAUGAUGCCAUUAAACAUCAUAACAUUUCUGAUCACUCUAUACUAUAGCGGC
rnacentral:lncRNA from 1 species